AACAAAAUAUUUCUAACGUGGCUUCACUUCUUCCGAGGUUUGCGCAAAACGAUCCACGCUAGCCCAGUAAAGGUUUAUAUGAGAACAAACCGGCUACGUAUUUGUCCCAUGCGAUGUUUGCAGGAAAUGGCUCCACAUACUGCGCGCUGUAUUUUUAAUGGUAUUAAUGUGCCAAUUCUCAAACAAACAAUUAGCAUGGUUCAUUUGUUGAGCAUUGUUGGCUGCCUGGAGCUCGGCAGCACUUUCCGCACUCCCUGAUCACAUUAAUCAAACUGUAGCUUACACAUAAAAAAAAAGCAUCUGAAAACCAUUUUGUGAUUAGGUAGGAAUAAGCUCUUUAAUAAAAGCCAUCGGAAUCAGCACUUCCAGCCCGUGGGGACUGUUAGAAAGCAGAAGCUGCCAUAUCUGAACGGACGGUAAUCUCACAGCUGGGGACCCGGUGGGCAAUUAUUGGGAGGAAAGCAGCAUAUCCACGCGCAGUUUAGAGAACCUGAGCUGGAUCUAGUAAUUACGUCUCAAAAUCGCAAGCCAUUGAUCUCUCUAAAUGUGUUGUUUGCCAGCGGAAUAAACGAGCAGAUGAGGAUCGUUUUGGUCGUCCGCGCGUCGAAGUCACGUCACCGAUCGUGGGCGGGUGACAAAUCUCACCUCGGGUGGAAAUAAACUACCUGAAUGCCCUUUCAAUGUAGUUGCCCCCCUCGCUCGCUGGGCUGUCUCUUCAAUUAAGAGAGAAUUCACUACAGCCGAGCAGCAAAGGCUUCGUCUUAACUGGGUCACAGUAAAUCCAGUCAUAUGGUCCAGGCACAUCGUGUCUUUUGCGGGUGCGCCGAGUAAUGCCACUGAGCUUUAAAUCGGCAGCGCACUCACUGAGUCACACAUGGAGGCAGGCCAAGUCAGGUUCAGAUAACCUGAGGAAGGGCACUGAGAUGUAUCCUAGUGAGGAAAUUGUCCUCUCUCAGGUGGAAAGCUAGCCCAAGAAGUUUCAAAAGAUGAAACACACCACUGGAUUUGCUGCAAACGCUGGAGAUUCGACCUAACAACUUCCAGCAUCCAGAGCUUCCAAAGUUCGUGAAACAAACGUGUACUUGGUGACUUGUGUUUCUUCUUCCUCUUACAUUUCUCUGUUUCCUGAGAAGUGGAAGCCUCGUCCGAACACCACGCAGCAGAAACUGAAUCGAUUUUCCCCGAAGUGUGUCCGUGGCUUUUUCGGACUAUGGAGCAACCCGUGACAGUGCCAUCCAUCCAUCUUUGCCUUUUUCCGACUCAGUAGCAACCUGUGACAGUGCCAUCCAUCCAUCCAUCCAUCCAUCCAUCCAUAUUUUCCAGCAGUGAUCCCAUUCAGGCUCACAGAGACCUAGCUGCUUCCUAACCCAGGUGAACUGGGGGAAAGACAGAGACACGAGGAAAGAAAAGAAACAGACAACCAUCCAUAUUGUCAGAUUCCAUCAGUCGCCCGCAGCUCGUUGGAAAUGUGACUGCUCGCUGGUGCCGAGAGACCGCCGCGCUCGUGUUCUGUCCUCUCAUCGCCGACCACAAUUUCAAUUUACUUUACAAUUAUCUUAUUAUUAACGGUUAGCUGGCGCCAGCUUAUAGCCCUCGUCGCUUCUCAACCACAACGAAGCCUUUUAGAUUGACCGGUCUGCUUUGCGCAAGAAUGUGGAUGUUGGAAUUUGACCUUAAAUAACAGCAGAAAGCGGCUAUACUGCUGUUUCAUUGUAACGGAGUAGCCAGCACGGCUGUCACUGCCGCAAAUCUUGACAGCUGCGAGUGUGACGGAGUUAAAAAUUGCUCUUGUUAAAAUUUAAAAUGAAUAAAAUAGCAAUUAGGUUAUAUGAUUUCUUUAUACAAGGCGGUGGAAUAUUUGUUAAAGUGUGUCCUGAAUUUAUUUUUCUGUUGAAGGGCUUUGUAUUUAAAUGUGUUUUAUUCAUUUGUGAAAAGAAAUACUUUUGUCUGUCAUUUUAUUGUUGUAACCAGUGUUUGAGAAGGACAGUGACGUGUUGAGGAGACGCUGGAGAGAGAAAAAAAAAAGAUAGAUGAAGUGCAAGAACUAGUAGUUGUUUGAGGAAGAGACAAAUUAAUGGUGGAUAUUUAUCAACACUUUCAAGGACUGUUGCCAGUUGAAUUGUGAUAAUGUGUGGUGGAGUUAGCCGCUGAUAAAGAGGCUAAGUGGAUGCACAGAACUUUGCUAGGAUGCUAGCGACAAGCUAACGCCAGCUAGCGAGGCCUCUGUUGGACCACGUGGAAGAAGACGAGGACGCCAGCGAUGAGCAAAUGCUAACGAGGCCCGCAUUGGAGCACAAGGAAAAAGCUUUCGCAACCGAUUGGACCCUUAGGACUUGGAUGAGGCUGGACAAUUGGACACAACCCUCGACUUUCUUCAUUCCCGCCGUUGGGAACAAAGACAUUGGGGUUUGAAUUUCAUUUGUUUUGCCGGCAAUGUUCAUAUUUGUCUCGGCCCUUAUAGUAGAUUAGCUUAGUUCAGCUAAUGUGUGCAUCUGUUAUGUUGACUUUGUUUAUUUGACUGUUUGUUUUACCAUUAAGUUAAUUGAUUAGUUCCUAAUUUAGAUUGAGGAAAGAACUCAGGUUAGCCACCUCUUGUCAAAGUAUUAUAUACUUGAGAGGCGCUACACGUGCACAAGGUUUUACUAAAAUUUCUUAAAAGAGGACCUGAGGACUACUAUGCUGUUUUUCAUCACUUAUUGAUCUUUUGUUCUCUUAUUUUGUUAAAAUCCAGGCUGCAGAUAAAUUACACCGCCAGGAAAAAAAAAAUGGUCAUAACAGUGUUAGUCCAAGUCAAUUACGCAGGAGGAGGCUGUCCAGUUGGAAAGCAAUAACAAUGAGGACUCAAUUUACAUGAUUAUGCAAAACAGAAAUUAUUAGUUGGAAAACUGCAUUAAACCAGAUUUGGAUUGUUGUGUCGCACCACAACGGUCCACUUGUCACAAUCUAGAACGUUUGCCACAGAUCUGGAUUCAGUCCUCAACGGGUUAAUGAGUAAGGUUUUUACCGAUUUGUUCUUUAAUUCGUUCUGAUCUGAACAAAUUUUAGUAUAUAAGCAGGAAAUGUGCUUCAUUUAUCACGAUCUAAGUGAUUAAAGCAAUGCUUUUUAACGGCACUGUAAUUUGUCCCCGCCGGUGUCGUUU